rnacentral:rRNA from 1 species
UCCGGCAGUUAGCUCUCUGCAUGGUCACCCACUGAAGCAGAGCUGCGCCCGGUCAGUACCUGGGUGGGAGACCACAUAGGAAAACUAGGUUGCUGCCAGAA